rnacentral:rRNA from 1 species
UACGGGGGGGGUAAGCGUUGUUCGGAAUUACUGGGCGUAAAGGGCGCGUAGGCGGCUCUGUUAGUCAGGCGUGAAAGUCCUGGGCUCAACCUGGGAACUGCGCUUGAUACGGCAGGGCUAGAGGAUGGAAGAGGGUCGCGGAAUUCCCAGUGUAGAGGUGAAAUGCGUAGAUAUCUGGAGGAACACCGGUGGCGAAGGCGGCAUCCUGGACCGGCAUUGACGCUGAGGCGCGAAAGCCAGGGGAGCAAACGGG